rnacentral:rRNA from 1 species
CCUACGGGUGGCUGCAGUGGGGAAUAUUGGACAAUGGGGGCAACCCUGAUCCAGCCACGCCGCGUGUGUGAAGAAGGCCCUCGGGUUGUAAAGCACUUUCAGUGAGGAAGAACGCCUGGUGGUUAAUACCCAUCAGGAAAGACAUCACUCACAGAAGAAGCACCGGCUAACUCCGUGCCAGCAGCCGCGGUAAUACGGAGGGUGCGAGCGUUAAUCGGAAUUACUGGGCGUAAAGCGCGCGUAGGUGGCUUGAUAAGCCGGUUGUGAAAGCCCCGGGCUCAACCUGGGAACGGCAUCCGGAACUGUCAAGCUAGAGUGCAGGAGAGGAAGGUAGAAUUCCCGGUGUAGCGGUGAAAUGCGUAGAGAUCGGGAGGAAUACCAGUGGCGAAGGCGGCCUUCUGGACUGACACUGACACUGAGGUGCGAAAGCGUGGGUAGCAAACAGGAUUAGAUACCCCUGUAGUC